rnacentral:piRNA from 1 species
UAAUUGUAUCUUGAUACUCAUGGAGGAAA